UACGUAGGGUGCGAGCGUUAAUCGGAAUACUGGGCGUAAAGCGUGCGCAGGCGGUUUUGUAAGACAGGCGUGAAAUCCCCGGGCUCAACCUGGGAAUGGCGCUUGUGACUGCAAAGCUGGAGUGCGGGCAGGAGGGGGAUGGAAUUCCGCGUGUAGCAGUGAAAUGCGUAGAUAUGCGGAGGAACACCGAUGGCGAAGGCAAUCCCCUGGGCCUGCACUGACGCUCAUGC
rnacentral:rRNA from 1 species